CCCCCGGGCGUCGAUGAAUGUGGGGUACCAUUCCUUGAUGAUGUGGUCAUGUUUGUAGUCGGCCUUAUUGUCCUUUAGAUGUUCCACGGUGUUCCGCUCGCUCUUCUCAUAGGCCUCCCGGGGCUUCCGGACAGACACCUUGCAUUCUCGGACCUUGUUGACGAUGAAUUCUUGGAUGAGAAACCUGAUAUCUUCCAUGAGGCAGUCAUCAUAAAGAAGUCUGAAUAUCUUGGUUGAGAGCUAGACUUUGGAAACAGAGAGACCCUGUAUAAUAACAGACUAAGAAGUAAGGAAGACAAGCCCAGCCAGUCCCACAACUAUUUCAUUAAUACCAGGUAAAGCAACAGACCUGCCAGUGAAGCAUCUUGGAUCCUUUAGCUUUAGGAAAUCUACUCCAGUCCUGUCCUGUGGAAACUAAUGGGAGUGCCAGGAGGCCUAACCAUCUGAGGUGUUCUUCAUAUUUUCUAAAUUUGAAUUCGUGACUGCUAAAUGUGUUUCAAAUAUCUUUUCAGAUUCAUAGGGUUUGGUGUUCACUUUGUUUUUAUGAGUCUUUUGAUGAAUAUAAGUACUUAAAUUUAAUACAUUUCAAUGUAUCAUUUUUUAUCCAUUAAGCCAUGUGAAAUUCGUUUUGCUUAAGGUAUGAAUGUUAUUUUAAUUUGAAAAAUCUAUAUAAUAAAGUAAUCCAUAAAUACUUAAAUAGUCUAUCCAGUUCCACUGAUUUGAACAAACACUUCUGUUAUAUCCAUAUUCCAUAAAUGUAUAGGUCUGUAGCUUUCUAUUCUGUUCUCCUUUUUUAUUUGCCUUUUUUGUACUAUUUCCACACUGUCCUAAAUAUUUAUAGCUUUAGAAGAAGUCGUUAUAUUUAAAACUAGAAUUCCUUUUUCCUUGUCUGUUUUCAGGAAUUUUUCUGUUUUUCUUGUCCCUUUACUUUUCCAAAUAAUUUAGAAUAAAGUUGUCAAGUAGAAAAAAUAUAUUGUUAUGAUUAUAAAUAGAAUCACAUUAAAUCUAUAUCUCAAUUUAGAGACAUUUGUCAUCUUUGUAAUAUCUUUUCCUAUGAAUAUGAUAUAACGUUUUAUAUCCUGUUUCAUUUCUUUCAAUAUAUAA
ensembl:lncRNA novel transcript